rnacentral:rRNA from 1 species
AUUGAACGCUGGCGGCAGGCUUAACACAUGCAAGUCGAACGGUAACGGGGAGGGAGAUUACUUUCUCUGCUGACGAGUGGCGGACGGGUGAGUAAAGCUUGGGAAUCUGGCGAAUGGAGGGGGAUAGCCACGGGAAACUGUGGGUAAUACCGCGUAACGUCUAAGGACUAAAGGGGUGGGACUGAGAGGCCACCUGCCAUUUGAUGAGCCCAAGUGGGAUUAGGUAGUUGGUGAGGUAAGGGCUCACCAAGCCGACGAUCUUUAGCUGGUCUGAGAGGAUGAUCAGCCACACUGGGACUGAGACACGGCCCAG